rnacentral:tRNA from 1 species
CGCGGGGUGGAGCAGCCUGGUAGCUCGUCGGCUCAUAACCCGAAGGUCGUAGGUUCAAAUCCUGCCCCCGCUACCA